UAACCGGCUAAACAACUGAACCC
rnacentral:miRNA from 1 species